rnacentral:rRNA from 1 species
UAGAUGGCGACCGGCGCACGGGUGAGUAACACGUAUCCAACCUGCCGAUAACUCGGGGAUAGCCUUUCGAAAGAAAGAUUAAUACCCGAUGGUAUAAUCAGACCGCAUGGUCUUGUUAUUAAAGAAUUUCGGUUAUCGAUGGGGAUGCGUUCCAUUAGGCAGUUGGUGAGGUAACGGCUCACCAAACCUUCGAUGGAUAGGGGUUCUGAGAGGAAGGUCCCCCACAUUGGAACUGAGACACGGUCCAA